CUCCGAGCCAGCCUCCGGGGCUCGGAACCUGGAACGCCACCGUGCCGGGGUGGGGGGUGGCCUGGCCGCGAUGCCCAGCCUGGGACGAAAGUACGUUGCUGCCAUUCAAGGCGACCGGGCUGAGGCUCCCAGAUGGUAAGACAAAUUAAGAACUUAGCCCACAGCAGAUCAACCGACUUCUUAGGAAUCAAGGAUCAAGACCAGAGUAUUUCCUAAGAAAGCUUCCUUGGAUGUUGCAACAAGGGAGCAGAGCCAUUUGCACACCUGGACAAAUCAGAAGGAUCGUUUUCAGCCUUUCUACCUUGUUUAAGAAACAUGUACACACAGCAAUUGCUUUCAUCCAUGCAUCGUUGGUAUCCAUAAGAAAAUUCAUCAUGUGUGAACGAGCUAUAAGUACCAGAUCCAGGAACUAGAUGGUUCUCUUUUUGAGUCUAAUUGGGUAAAAAUGAGUAAGUAACUGUGACCAAUUCUCAAUAAACAUUACCUAUUGACCAUCUUA